CUGACACCAGCGAAGAUGGAGAUCAAAAUCGACAGAGAAGGAGUGAUCGAGAUUUGGGGAGGAAGAGACAAGAAGUGAUUUCGGCUUUCUUGCCCCGACGAAAGAGAGAGAGAGAGAGACAUAAAUGGGAGUUCCAUUCAUCAAGUGACACGUAAGGGUCCUUACCGACUCCAAAAGACCCAAAUUAAACACCGGUUCUCUCAUUUUUAUCCUUUUUAUUUAUUUUUAUUGGGCUUUUGUUUUGAAACUGGGUUAAGAGUCCCCCGAUGGUGGUGGUCUAAGUAACGUUGACCGUUUCUUUGUGGCGCCAGGCCGGCCUUGAUCUAAAGAAGAUCAAGGUAGUGUUUUAGAGGCCAUUUUAUAUUAAAUAAUUAGGGAUAUCUAAUAUUUGAUGUUGGAUCAUAUAAAUAUUCAUAUUAUUAUUCUUAUUUCAUUAAUUAUUCAAACAUUCUGAUUUAUCAGAUUUUGAUCCGCACUUUCAAAGUGCGAGAUUUAUUUCCUUAUAAUAUUUUUUCGUAGAGAUGAAGUUAUGUUAAUUAUUGAUGUCCAAUAUAUACAAUAGUAUUGAUUUUUUUAUCUUCGCAAAAUAUUUCUACUCCAAAAUUAAUUUUUAGGAGUUUAUAUGUUCUAGUUGUAUUGAUUUUAUUAAAUUCUUAAAUAUAUAUAUCAAAAAAUUAUGUUUACAAAUACAAUACAAAGCAUAUUCCUCAUUACAUAAUUUAAUAUUCGAUGAAACUAAAAAACUAAAAAUGUGUAGCCUAAAUUCUGUUUACUUGUAAUUAAAAACAAAGAACUAAAUAUAGUGUAUUUUAAACAAAAAAAAACUAAUAUAGUGUAUUAUACGGGUUUUAUAAUACGUUUGCAACAAAACAUAUAGGAAAAUUAAUGAGCUUUGAUUUGGGCAUAACCUGAAAAAUACCUUCAGUCCAACCCAUUAGAUAAUAAACAAACCUGAAGUGCUUUAAAUAUGAAAGUGUACUGCUUCUAUGUGUAUAAAACUUUAACGUGCGUAAACUAUAUA
rnacentral:lncRNA from 1 species